rnacentral:rRNA from 1 species
GUCCACGCCGUAAACGAUGGAUGCUCGGCGUCCGUGGGGGAUACCCCGUGGGCGCCUCAGCUGACGCGGAAGCAUCCCGCCUGGGAACUACGAGCGCAAGCUUAAAACUCAAAGGAAUUGACGGGGGCCCGCACAAGCAGCGGAGCGUGUGGUUUAAUUCGACGCAACACGCAGAACCUUACCCAGCCUGGACAUGAACCUGCAGGCGUGAGAGAUCACGCGGCCUUCGAGGGUGGUUCACAGAUGCUGCAUGGCUGUCGU